rnacentral:rRNA from 1 species
UAGUCUUAUUGGAUUGAUUGGGCAGGGAAGCGGUUCCAGGAAAUAGCUCCACCGUAUAGACCGUACCCGAAACCGACACAGGUGGUCAGGUAGAGUAUACCAAGGCGCUUGAGAGAACUAUGUUGAAGGAACUCGGCAAAUUGCACGCGUAACUUCGGAAGAAGCGUGACCCCUUCGCACGCAAGUGUGGUGGGGUGGCACAGACCAGGGGGUAGCGACUGUUUAUCAAAAACACAGGGCUCUGCGAAGCCGCGAGGCGACGUAUAGGGUCUGGCGCCUGCCCGGUGCUGGAAGGCUAAGAGGAGAGGUGCAAGCUUUGAAUCGAAGCCCCAGUAAACGGCGGCCGUAACAAUAACGGUCCUAAGGUAGCGAAAUUCCUUGUCGGGUAAGUUCCGACCUGCGCGAAUGGCGUAACGACUUCCCCGCUGUCUCCAACAUAGACUCAGUGAAAUUGAAUUCCCCGUGAAGAUGCGGGGUUCCUGCGGUCAGACGGAAAGACCCCGUGCACCUUUACUAUAGCUUUACACUGGCAUUCGCCAAGGCAUGUGUAGGAUAGGUGGUAGGCUUUGAAGCUUGGACGCUAGUUUGAGUGGAGCCAUCCUUGAAAUACCACCCUUAUCUUCGUGGAUGUCUAACCGCGAUCCGUUAUCCGGGUCCGAGACAGUGUAUGGUGGGUAGUUUGACUGGGGCGGUCGCCUCCGAAAGAGUAACGGAGGCGCGCGAUGGUGGGCUCAGACCGGUCGGAAAUCGGUCGUCGAGUGCAAUGGCAUAAGCCCGCCUGACUGCGAGACUGACAAGUCGAGCAGAGACGAAAGUCGGUCAUAGUGAUCCGGUGGUCCCGCGUGGAAGGGCCAUCGCUCAACGGAUAAAAGGUACGCCGGGGAUAACAGGCUGAUGACCCCCAAGAGUCCAUAUCGACGGGGUUGUUUGGCACCUCGAUGUCGACUCAUCGCAUCCUGGGGCUGGAGCAGGUCCCAAGGGUAUGGCUGUUCGCCAUUUAAAGCGGUACGUGAGUUGGGUUCAGAACGUCGUGAGACAGUUCGGUCCCUAUCUGCCGUGGGUGUAGGAAUAUUGACAGGAUCUGUCCCUAGUACGAGAGGACCGGGAUGGACGUAUCUCUGGUGGAUCUGUUGUCCUGCCAAGGGCAUAGCAGAGUAGCUAUAUACGGAAUGGAUAACCGCUGAAGGCAUCUAAGCGGGAAACCAACCUGAAAACGAGUGUUCCCUGAGAGCCGUGGAAGACGACCACGUUGAUAGGUCGGGUGUGGAAGCAAGGCAACUUGUGAAGCUUACCGUUACUAAUAGCUC